rnacentral:rRNA from 1 species
UACGGAGGGGGCUAGCGUUGUUCGGAAUUACUGGGCGUAAAGCGCACGUAGGCGGCUUUGUAAGUUUAGAGGUGAAAAGCCCGGAGCUCAACUCCGGAAUUGCCUUUAAGACUGCAUCGCUAGAAUUGUGGAGAGGUAAGUGGAAUUCCGAGUGUAGAGGUGAAAUUCGUAGAUAUUCGGAAGAAACACCAGUGGCGGAAGGCGACUUACUGGACACAUAUUGACGCUGAGGUGCGAAAGCGUGGGGAGCAAACAGG